GAGCACGUAGGUGGGUUUGUAAGUCAGAUGUGAAAGCCUUCUGUUCAAAGGAAGAACGGCAUCUGAAACUGCGAAUCUUGAGUGUAGGAGGGGAGAGUGGAACUUCUGGUGGAGCGGUGAAAUGCGUAGAUAUCAGAAGGAACGUCGGCGGCGAAAGCGACUCUCUGGCCUAUUACUGACACUGAGUGUGCGAAAGUUAGGGGAGCAAACGGGAUUAGAUACCCCGGUAGUCCUAACUGUAAACGAUGGGCACUAAGUAGAGGGGUUU
rnacentral:rRNA from 1 species